rnacentral:rRNA from 1 species
GGAUUAGAUACCCUGGUAGUCCACGCCGUAAACGAUGAGAACUAGACGUUGGGAGGUUCGCCUCUUAGUGUCGCAGCUAACGCAAUAAGUUCUCCGCCUGGGGAGUACGGCCGCAAGGCUAAAACUCAAAGGAAUUGACGGGGGCCCGCACAAGCGGUGGAGCAUGUGGUUUAAUUCGAUGCAACGCGAAAAACCUUACCUACUCUUGACAUCCUUGGGACCUUCUGGAGACAGAAGGGUGCCUUCGGGAACCAAGUGACAGGUGCUGCAUGGCUGUCGUCAGCUCGUGCCG